rnacentral:lncRNA from 1 species
AAGCGUUACUCGACAUGCACACGAUCGAGUGGGACGAUCGAGUGAGAAGCAAGGAUGCGUUGCAGGAACAUAUUUCACUCGAUUGACAUGACCGAGUAGGAUGAUCGAGUAGGCAGCAGAGAUACAUUUUAAUUACGUCGGCGAUCGAGUGAGCAGCAGACGUAUACGAUCGAGUAGCUGAUCGAGCAGAAGGGAAGCGAAGCAGAACCACCUGUCACUCGAUGCACUCAUUCGAGUGACAUGAUCGAGCAAAGCAAAGAAGUAGCUGAUGGUUUCAC